UUUUUGUACAAUUUGAGCACUUAAAUUAUUAGUUGAUUAUUCAAAUUCGGGUUCUAGCGGGAUAUUAUUCGAAAGCUUUGCGGACAGAUAUUAUAGUUUUGGCGUUCAGGUAGGCUGGGUUUAUCCUACUUUUAGAUUGAGAUUAUAUACCGAAAUUGUGAUCUAUUAUGCUAGCUUUGAAUAAAUACUUGUAGAUGCAUAUUCUUUGAUUUAUAUAAACUGUCUUAUUUAUCCGGAUUAGGGCCUCGUUCUAGUAAAUAUUAAAAUAUUAUCUUUUAAUAUAAUAUAGCAUCUAUUACUUUAAAACGUGAAGCUAAAAUGAAUUGACUAUUAUUGUUACUAUGAGCUCCGGUUCGAGUCCGGCAUCUGAUUAUAGUUGGGGUUACUCUGAGUUCCGGUUUGAGUCCGGCAUCUGAUUAUUUAUGUUUACUUUCACCACUUGUGUGUCCCACCGGCUUAUGGGGGUACGGUUGGGUUAAUUAUCUUCUUCAGUGUGCCUAGCGGGCUUAUGGGGGCGCAGUUAGGUUAUGUUUGAUUUAUUUAUUAUUAUUGCAUCAUUAUUUUUCUGUAUUGCACAAGUUUAUUCCUUUAUCGCCGUUGCAUAGCUUGGUAGUUGUUUACCUUUCCAUCCCUACUUACUAAUGACUCAGAUUAUGCCCUUGCAUUGUAGUUAUACCUUUUCUGUAUUAAGCUCAGUCGGUCGAUGAUGUCUACUGAGUACCCGUGGUUUUUGGUACUCAUACUACUCAUACUACACUUUUGCAUCUUUUUUCUGAUGCAGAUCCAGGUACUAGCAAUCGGCGUUGACGUGGUUCCUACCUUUCAGUGCUGGUUUAGAGCGGGGUGAGCUUAGUGUCGUCCGAGGCUGAUCCUCCUCUAUCUACUCUAGUUAUUCUUUUUCACUUGAGACUACUUGUGUACAUUUUAGAUUUUUGUCUAGUACUAUGGGUACCUGUUAUUAGUGGCUCUAGUACUGACCUUAUCAGGUCUUGGGAGAGAUUCAUUUGUAUAGUUGACCCUUUUUUCUCCUCUCGUUUUGAUAUAA
rnacentral:lncRNA from 1 species